GCGGGGUCGAGGGAUUGCUGCGGCUCAGCGGGGUUGGGAGGUCGCUGCGGCCCAGCGCGGAAGUCUGUGCGCUGCGGCCGAUCUGCCAGGAACCCCAGGGAGGACCUUUCCCCCAUUACGGGUGGCCCACGGGAGACUGCAUCGACCGCCCAUAGCCAGACGGGUUCCCCUGAACUCUUCCCGGGGAAAAAACCCUGCUGAGACCUUAAAAGGUUGCGUCAUUGUGUCAGGAAGGUAUGCUGGGGAAAAAGGCAGGAAUCAAACGCAGAGUUUAACAGAGAACAAAAAGGGACUUUAUUAGUCCAAAAACUCCACACACACGAGGUCAGGGAGCAGGAGACAGGAACAUGGACAAGGACACGGACAUGGGCUUCUGACAAGUAACAACAAGGAACAAUGAUGCGACAAGUGACAAGAGACACACAUGGCUUAAAUACACUAGGGAGGUGCAGGUGAUUGGACACAGGUGGAAACAAUCAGACAAUCACAGGGGAUGACCGGACAAGGCAGGAAGUGAAGUUACCCAGGGAGACAAGAAGCAGAAAACUAAAAAAAUAAGACAGGAAAUAAAACCACACCGUGACACCCUUUCUACCCGAGUAGAAAGCGUUGUGAACAACUUCCCGCUCCAAAUUCAGUGACUGGAGUAGCGAGUCAUUUUCAGAAAACUUAAAUCAUCCGUGAAUUAGACUUUUUGUUUUGUAAUUCAGAUGAAUCACAAAAAAUAUAAACAAAUAAAGAAACCCAUUUUCUCUGCUUACAAACAUAAUGUAAUGGAUCUUCUGCUGUUUUUGUGUCCCUGUUGUGACUAAUGGUUUUCCGCCUUCAAACGACCAAUUAAUCUGAAGAGAAGCUGAUAACGUGGGAGACUGAGGGAGUCGGAGAGACUCGUUGUGUUACUGCUACUUAGAGCCACAAGAGACCAGUUAAGUGUGUGUGUGUGUGUGUGUGUGUGCGCGCGCGCAUUCAUGUGUGGCAAUAGUUGACCUAUCCUGUUUGAAGCAGAAACGUAGGGACUCCAGACUUCUAGAAAGGACUGCAGAACACACAUAGACACACGAUGUGGCAUGUUGGCAGUAGUACAGAGGAUUGAGGAUCAGUGUUUGAUCCACACUGACCUUUAGUUUGGAUCAAAGUUACCUCUCCCCUCCUGCUAAUCCAUGUAUGCAUAUCCCUCUUCUCCUCGAUCCAUCAGCAUCCUGCUUAUCUUGCUCUCAUUUCAAUCAGUUCAAUAAAAGAAGACAGUGAUGAUUUAGAUAAUAUAAUGACUUGGCUGAAUUAGCUUUUUCAAAAACAUACAUGGGAAAGUUUCCUCAAAAUGUUUUUGACAUAACAUAUAACGUGUUCUACGAAGCUUCCCAUAUUUCUAUAGUGAGUUAAGCUUAAAAUAAGGACAGCCAGCAUACUGCAACCCUGCCAGAGCUGCAGUGAUAAUGUUCCUCACAGACACUGUGGCAAACCAGGGGAUGUGGAGGCAAGAUUUCCGAAUCAGAUAGACAGACACAUUAGUCCAAUGACAAAAAUGAUCCUUUUAUUUGAUAACGUAGGGGAAAGGGUCUAGGGUCGGAAAACAACAAAAUACUCCUCCCGGUCGGGGUCUUAGAUCCUUAACGAAUUGUCUUGGGGAAACCCAGAGAUAGGGCCCGAAGAGGCAGAAUGCUAGCCCUGGUUUGCCACAGCCCCUUGUUGAUGCAUUUGUUUGUUUUAAAAUAUCACAGAUCACUGAGAAGCUUCACUUUUCUAUGUUCAUUGCUGCAGAGAUAUGUUAUGUCUCCUGUACAUGCAUGUUGGGAUUGAUAACAUUCUAUGUAAUAUUAUAAGUUCAUCAGUCUCAAACCCAAAUUAUUAUUAGUAUAGAUUUUCAGAUGUGUUGAGAAAUGAAAUAAAGUCUAUGUGACCAGAGUUAUUCUGGUUGAACAUGUGUUUCUGAUUGACCCCAGAUGGUCAAUUCUUGUGCAUAUGAAGACCUAGGUCCAGCAUGCCUUCUGUGUGAACAGCAUCAUAUAUGGAUGUAUGUAGGUCUUGCAUGUGUCUGUGUUCUCUCUGAGUAGUCUCUGGACAAAUGGACUUGAACAGAGGUUAACAUCUGUUUAGCUUAGUCUCCAGGAGGCCAGAGAAGCAUCUACAAUGCCAGACAUUUUGUGUCUGUCUCUCUAUAGUACAUAUUAUGCACAAAAGAAACUCACAGCAAGACAGACUUACAGGUGCGCAAACAUGCAAUUUGCACACACAGAGCAGCCUCCAAACAACCCUGUUAGUAAUCAGGGUGUCUCCUUAUUUAGUCUUCUGAGACUUUUGAUUUACUUAAAAUGUGUAUUUUAGAAUUUGGAACAAAAAGCAUUAUUAAAUAACUUAAAUAAUAAUUUGGUGGAUGAUACCUCUUUGACAAAUUCAACGUGCACAGAGAAAACCUGAUAAAUUGCCUGCAGAGGAACAGAGGUGGGUCUUUGGGUGAGUGGACAAACAACGAGGCCAUUACACACUACUGUCUGACGUGUGCCAGCGAUUAAUGAGAAUUAAUGGGAAAUAUAAGUAGCUGCUUUCAGGGAGUCAGUGUAGGAACAACACAUUUUUGUCCAAGGCCCAAACUUCUGUAACAAUCUGCUGUGAGACUAAAGAGGGUCAAUAUCAUUUUUGUUCCAGGUGUAAUAUCUAAUAUAUAACUAUCUUUAGAGUGCAAAUCUAGUGCAGUGGUUCAUGACAUGUUAUGCCCCAGACAGCAGUGGACUCCAGGCCGGAUCCGCAGUCAGCCCGCCAGAUCCAGCCUGGAGUCCGCUCUGGUUUUGGCCAUACGCACCGUAUCCGCCCCGCCUACUAAAAUAUCAUCGUCAAAGGGGGGACCUGCUGAGGACACGAUUUGGGUACAGUUGCAUGUGUCCUAGAUUUCGGCGGCCUGUUACGUGCCUGCAAUAUUUGAAUUGGGGAAAACGCGGCAGGCACAAAACAGGCAGCCUGGAGGAGCGGGUUUCCCCAUGCUUAGUAGAUGUAGGGUCUCUUUGUUGUGCGCAUUGUGCUGUGCUGAAAGAGGAAGGUAAAGUUGCAUGCAGAUCUCAUUGUGUUGUAUGAGUCACUUUGGCUACAGCUAUGCUGUGCGUAGGUAAAGCUAACCCUGGCAAGUACUUUGUGUAAGCUUGUCUUCAAUGUGUACAACAAGCCCAUUUCUGUUUAAUCACAUUUUACUGCACGCCUCUGUUUUCAAGCACUAAGUUAAUUCACAUACUCCUGCCAAUAGAGCAUUGUUAAGUAUUGAUUUCUAAAGUUAAACAGAAAGUUGUAUUUCUGUGACUGACACUGGUCGUUUUUUUCUCUUAAUAAUUCAGGCUGUUCUACUUUAUUGAGUUCAUCAGGAACCAAACCGUAGCAGUGGUGCUACAGAGGUGAUAGAAGAUAGAAUGAUGGUGACUGACUUUGGCCUUGUUACAGGGGGGACAGAAGAGUGGACAGGGCCUCGUUACAGGGGGGGACCGAAGAAUGGAUAGGGCUGUCCAAAAUGCAGAGGAACUGGCCCUAAUUUAUCUUGUUUAUAAUUAUGAGGGGAAAAACAUUUGAAUUUAUUCUGUUAAAUUCUGUUAUUUUGACUUUAGGUCAUUACUUCGAAGUAAGACAAAGGAUGACAAAAUAUACAGUAUUGCACACAUCCACUCUACAGCAGGAAGAGGCAAUUCCUAAUAAAGAGAAAGCCAAAGCCGGUGUGAGUAAGAGCUGCCCUGUGAGGCGGGGGACUUAAAAUCUAAUAAAACAUAAGAUACAUUUAUAAAAAAAAAGAUACCAGCAACGCCAGAAAAGUUGCAGAGUCUAGGUCUCCAUAAAAACAGGUUAUUUUUCACCAGAGGAAGAACAGCAUGGAUCACAAGACUUAAAAGCAUGGUUUAAAAGGAGGAUUUUAUUUUUAACUAAAAACCCAUAAAUAACUACAAUUGUAUUAAAAGUCCAGCUGGAACAAAGUGCUAAAAAAGAUUAAGGCAGUUUGAUGGCAUUUUUUUUUUUAAACAUUCUAUUGCAUAUUAGAUAUAAUAUUACUGUUUUUAAUCUAUUUUAGAGUUCCUCCCUGGAAACCAUCAAAGGACAUGACACAAAUCAUGUCACAUAGGCUGCUCAGUGGGGAUGUUGAGAAGAGCAUUGAAGAACAAUCCGGUACAGAUUCAAGCCGGACAUGGGCCGGAUCUUCAUCUUGGAUGCUGAUGCAUCAAGACUGCCCCAAGCCCAUCUGCAGCCAUAUCAUGUCUCACCGACUGACUUAAGGAGAUAAAGGCAUGGAUGAACAACUUUCUCCAGCUAAACAGUUCCAAAACCGAAGCCCUUUUUGUUGGCACUCCACGCCAGUCAUCCUCCAUCCAAAUGACUGUGCAAACAUCAUUCUAUCAUCUCAAAAGCAUCUUCAAACUCUGCCCCACUUUGACCCCGUCAGAUACAGAGAAGCUUGUCCAUGCCUUUAUCACCUCAAGACUGGACUACUGUUAUUCACUUUCAACUGGAAUCACUGACAAAAAUAUCCUGGAACUACAAUACAUCCAAAAUAGCGCUGCCAGGAUCCUGAUGAGAGUCCAGAAAUAUGAACACAUAGCACUCAUCGUAGGAUGGACACUCACUACACUGGCUGCCUGUCUCCUUCUGGAUUGACAACAAAAUUCUACUACUCAGUCAUGAAUAAAAUGUAUUAUUAUGAGCCCGCCCCGGAUCCUUUUUGCAUAUCAGUUCCGGAGUUUAUGAUACCGCCAGAGCGGCGCGGCUUGCUUUUGCUAUCUGGGGUUUCUUUAAGGAUGUCUUUAAACAGUUUGGGUUGUUUGUAUGUUGUAUGUAUACAAGCAGGGCUGUAGUGGAGGGUAAACACACGUAAACGCUGUUUACGCACCUCUGGAAUUUUGGAAAUAGCGUUUACGCACCUCUAAAUAGCGUUUACCCACCUCUAAGUGGCGUUUACGCACCUCAAAGUUACCUGCGCCUUGUAUUCUUCCGUUGGAAUAAACCGAAAUAAACUUGGUGUAAUUUUAAAACAGCUAAGACUACGUUUCCUAUUGUUGAACAUUUAAACGCCGUAGUCUGAAUCAUUUUCAUCUGCGCUGUAUUACGGUCUGUGAGCAUCCAAUCAGUGCCUUGCGGCUGCAGCAGCGACACCAAUCAGGAUCCAGGAGGUAUGUAAACACAUACACGUUGUGGAUUAGCCCAGUGGUCCCCAACCUUUUUUACCUCACGGACCAGUUUCAUGUCAGACAAUAUUUCGCGGACCGGUCGAGAAGGUCCGACGGGGGGGGGUGUAGUAGUCGUUGCGGGCGGAACGGCCGACGGGGGGGUAGUAGUCGUGCGCUCUGUGUUCGCUGGUCGUGCACGGUAAAAGGACAAGAAAAACGCCAGUGACGCGCGCACAUGAUUAGGAGAAAAUCCGGUCAAUUUUCAAAAUAAAAUAUAUAAGCUUUCUGUGGUGCGGCCCGGUACCAAACAGCCCACGGACCGGUACCGGUCCGGUGGUUGGGGACCACUGGAUUAGCCUGCCUGCCUACCUGUUCGGAAUGGAUUACCGCAAUGGAUAUCAGGCGAUAUUUGAAGAGACCAUCGAGUGCUCCCACUCCCACAGAUGCCCGCAAAAGGCCUCAAGUACAAAGUAAGACUGAAGAAGAUCAAUUCACGUUUUCAAACGUUGUCUUGGUUCGCACAACAUCGCAUUAAGACAGGGACAAACUCUAUUAAUAACGUGCUUUCAAAUACGAUGAUGCAGGUAACAAGCCAGCCUUCCCGGUCCCAUCUAAAUAGGCCUAAUAAAAUGAGUAAUUGUCCUCAUGCAUAUUGCUGCAGAUUAGGCUAAUUCAUUGAAAAAUUGUCGACAGAUUAUGUGCAAGACAGUUAGACAUAGCUAAGAGAAAUGCUAAGUGAAAUGUUUUAGUUUAGCUAUAGAAUCUUCCAUUUUCGCGGUCAAGGACAAAUAUAUUAGUUUUUUACUUUCAUGAUGACAGCCUGCUCUCGCAUAAAAAACGUGAGCGGGGAGCAAAACUGUUGCUUCACUGAAUAGGCCUAUAUGCUUAAUCAAUUAUUUGAAGUCAUGAAAGGUGUAGAGUAGCCUGUAAGCGAAAUAGACUGUAAACAUAGAUUAGAAAACAAGUCAGUUCUCAAUGUGAAAAAAAAACAUGCUGUAUAGGCUAUUUACGAUGACAUAGGUAGUACAUGAGUGUUCCUUUAACUUAUGUUGUCAGUGUUAUUGACAGGCUGCUUAACUGGUGUUCUCAGCCCCACAACUCUUAAAUUCAACAAAUUUUUUCAGGCAGUGAUAGGACAGGUAAUGAUGCAGAGAGCACAGGGAGAGGAGAAACACCAGGUCGAAUAGAGAGAGGAGAAGCACAGAGGAGCCAUGAACCCCGGCUCCUCUGUGCAAGGCAGGACCUGACGUGGAGGACAAGGAGGCCCUCUGGGCACUACUGUAAAAGGGAGACUCCAUAUGUAGAUAGUUCUUAAUCUGCAAUUGUCUUGUUGUGUUGUGUUGACAUACUUUUCUUUACUGUUUUCUUAAAUUUAAUAAACUACAAACUACUAACACAUUUAUUCACUGUCAUUGAUUGUAUAUGACUUUUACUGAUAACAUAAUGCAAUAUAGCCAGGACAACCUUACAGAGUCGCGACGCUUUGUGUUGCGUUGCUUCGCAUCGCGUCGAGGUCUGUAUGAUCACAAAAGUUUACCCACCUCUAAUUUUACCACUACAGCACUGUAUACAAGUUAUACUAGGGAUACCAAAACGGUGGACCCUGGUUUGGGCGAAAAGAUAUGUUCUUUUUUCCUUUUCUUAAAAUAAAGAAACGUUUAGUUCUGAUAUAAUUGAUUCUAAUCUCUUAAAGAGCCGAGAUUGAAAUUAUUCCCCAUCCAGUCGUGUGACGGACACCUAAUCCAUCUAUUUUCAUAUGAAAUCGCAACAUUUUGGCUGCCACAAUCGGUUACCAGUUUUAACCAAAAUGCAUCUUCAAAUGCUAAAACAUAACAUUCAGUGGACAGAACAAACAGUCUAAAUCACAUAUGUCAAACUCGCGAACUUCUGACAGACAAGAGGCUGGUUGUCUUUUUUUUAUAUCAAUUUGUUUUGCACCACACCCUCGUCGGCUGUACCGUUUGCGCCACUGCCACCCCCCGUUGUAACUUCCCCCACAAAGAAAGAGGUUGGAUUAAAUAAACCUUUAAUCAGUGUUGAGGCAAAGUUUUUAAUUGUGCACCCUAUAACAAAGAGUAGCCUGUGGCGAAGAUAGAUAGAUGCAGUGAGAUAGAGGGAGCCAGUGAGACAGAGAGGAAGAAUACUGUUUCCUCUGUCUCAUCCACAUUUUGACAUGAAUCAGGCUUGGUGGCGGAGAUGAUUUUUUUCUGAGCCAGGGGUCGGGGUGCUGUGGUGGCUGGACGGACACCAAGAUAAGUGUCAUGUUGAUGUUUAUUAUGCACAUUCCUAAAUAAAUGUAGUUAAGUUAAUAAUUACUGUCAGUCCUUCCCUGUCAUUUCCACCCCUCACUCCACCUAAUCAGUUCAUUCUGUAGACCUGCUAGUCACAUUCACCCUGUCAGCCCAAUCACUUACCUGUCUACUCUACUCACUCCCUUCAGUAUCUAAACCCCACUCACUCACUCGCUGCCAGAUCGUUCUCUGCACUUAUGCCAGACCUUCCUGCAUUUUCUCUUGGACAUAGUUCCCAGCGGUGUUGGCCCUGCCUGUCUUGGACUACCCCUUCUUGCGCCUGCCCUGGUAAUUCCCCCAGUCUUCUGUCCCCGACCACGUCUUUUCCUGGUGACUGUUUGGUUGCAUUGAGGAAAAUAAAAUACUCUGUUGGGAACUACAACUGCUGUCUGCCAUAUUGCAUCUGGGUUCGUUCUUCACCAGUUAUAAAUUACAGCGCUAAACUACACUUAACAGUCCCUGUAAUAAAGUAAAAUUAUAAAUGCAAAAUAUUAUACAUUUAAAAUACGCACUGCUGAAAGUUUGUAACCCGGCUGGCAUGUUUAACUCGGUCGACUCAAAACCAAGCACAUCACACCGGCCAGAAGAAACACUCACCAUGUCUCACAACACACAAAUUGUCAAACGACAACCUAUUUCUUGCCUCAAAUAUAUAAAAUAUAUUUUAGGAUACUAUUGAUGUUAAAUUGGUCAUCCGGUCUCCCUUAGGUUGGCCAAAACAGAGCACCUGCCUGGGAAUUCCCUUUUUCCUCUUGACUUAAUUACUACAAUUUCUUCUUAACUUCCCUGGAGUCAACAAGCGAUUAGCGCUUCUCGACAACACUGCAGGCAGCACCUCUGGUGGCCAAGGGAUAAGCUCGCACAGAGCGGCCAGGCAUUCCUAAUGGGCACUACAAUGCUGGAGUAGUUACUAGUAACACAGCCUGGUUGUUAUUAGUUCUGAGAAAUCAAUCCGGACUCACAUUUUAAGCACAAGAUGCAUCUUUAAUUGCACAUGUGUGCUGGGGACUAGAGGUGGAUACCCGACCCGAGCCCGUCGGUACCCGUCGGGACCCGAUGGGUUGGGCCGGGUCCGGAUAAAUAUUUAGAAAAUAUAGUCUGGCUCGGACACAUCAGCGCGAUAAGACAUUGAACAUUCCAUAUUUAAAAUAUCUUAAUAAGUAGUGAAGUCAACAUCUGCUUCCCAUGAUGUAGAACCUCGGUUCCCAAACAGCGCUUGUUUGUUUGAGCGAGUAUAUUUAUCUGUUGAUGCCGGAGUUUAAUAAAGGCAAGCUAUUUAUAAAAAAAAAACGUUUGUGAAUGUGUCAUUAUUAUGAACAGUUGAGGCAUCGACUCCGUCGGGCUCAGGUCGUUUUCGGACAAAAUAGUUUAAAGGCUGUCGGACUCGGGUCGGACUCGGGCCCAACUCUGUGGGACGCGGGCCGGGCACGGACAGAAAAAGUCGGCCCGAUCCAUGCUCUACCCGAGACUGAUGUACUUUGGCCACAUUGUAGUGUGAAAAAACUAAAACAUAAAAAGAAAUAAAAACCUCAUGAAUAAUUCAGGUCACCUCUUCAUGUUAUCUUCGUAAAAGUAGCUUACAAAGAUAUUGUGACUAGAUUUAAGUCAUAAUUCCAUCAUCCCUGUUUAAAAUUCAAUGAGCUUCAAAAGUCUUGUAAAUUAUUUUUAGUUGUUUAUAAGAAAACAUCAUGCUCCUUUUAAAUUGGUUAAGCUCUGUGUCCAACUUUAAUCCCACAGCUUCCUUUUCCUUCCUUUCUUUCUAUUAUUUUAAAAGAAAAUGCAAAGCUGUUCUACUUGGCCCGUGGGGGAAGGACAUCUGUCUUGGAAAAAUAUCCCCAAAUGAAUCCCGACUGAGGUGUUCAAGAUGUAAAAACAUUUUGACUGUAUACCGAUUUUUAUCUUGCUGGGGAACGUAGUCCCUUGAUUACACAAUAUAUACAUAUAGUGUAAUCAAGGGACUGGCAAACCAGGGGACAAAGGUGACUACACAGCACAGGGGGCGGAUCCCCAGGCACAGGUUGGGGGAGGGGAUGGAGAGAGUCUUCUCUCCUGUGCAGGUGCUGUAACCACUCGGCACCUGGCACUGGUGACACCUGCAGCUAAUUAAAGUGAGCGUUUGUUCACUGAACUGGGAAGCAGAACCUCUCGAGAGGAGCUGUGUCGGAUGGGAAGUAUUCCAGCGGGCUCACCUCUCUCUUCGGCUCUCCCCACACAGGGGGUAGACAUUGAUGCCAAAAGUUUUUUUUUUUUUUUUAUAGUUUGACACCAUCCCCCUUCACCCACUUAGAGGAUUCCUUUUGUGCCUUGAUUACUGAAUCUUGCCUCCAUGCCCUGGGCCGCUACGGUAUGCAAGGCAAGACACAAUAGCACCAUUGGUAAACUGUCUGAGCUAUGCAGAAUUUGGGCUCUGUUGUGUGAUUGAUCCAAUGUGGCAACAACAAUGAUGACCAGUGCUUCAAAGUGACAGGGACAGCCAAUGUGUUGCCAGCCCUUAGGUCUCUGAGACACACUCUGCGGCUGAGCAAAGGGACCGAGGACCAAACAGAAACACACGAGUGUUUGUGCUGUGUUUUUUUCCUUGAAAAAGGUCCAUCAUUUCAUUUGCACUUAUAUAGCUAUAUAAGUGCAAAUGAAAAACUAUAGUUUAAAAUUGUGUCUGUAGGGGGGAACAUUUACUCUUCAAGAAUCGUGGCACACGGCGCAUCAUUGCUUUCCACUUUUUGUGAAAUGACAAAAAAAAAAAAAAUGUUUUCAUUCUUGAACCCUGCAUUGACGUAUUGUGUCUUUAUACAUAGUCAGAUAUUUGCAUGGAUCAUUUUAUUAUUUGUAUUUGAUCAAAAUCAAGCUGAAAUUUAGGUUUUGACCAGAAAACAAGUUUACCUCUUCUCUAAUUACUUCAGUAAAUGCAUUUUAUUAGCUUGCAAAGCUCCUUCUGCUGAACUACAGCUACCAGCUGCUGGUGACUGAUGUGGAGCCGGAUGCCACCUACAUGACGGGCUCGUUCCACCAAUCACUGGCAACAGAUUUUCAUUCAGAAAGAUUUUUCACUCAUAACACACUGACCUAAAAAGUACUAGCAACAGGGAGAUUUAUGAACUUUCAAAGUUUGAACUAAUUUUUACAAACAGUAUUUUAUUAUAGAAUAAGAUUUGUUAUUACAUUACAGGUUAUUUAGCUGACGCUUUUUAUCCAAAACGACUUCCAUUACAUUUUUAACUCGCGUGCACCACAACUAUAAAAAGCCAUUAUCAAUGGAGCGCAGAUAUUACGAGUCACCAUGGCAACAGCGCCAGACAAAAAGAGGUCUUCAUAUUUUUCACCAGCAGAACUGGAUGUGCUUAUGCAAGCAUAUGGAGAGUACGAACAUAUAUUUUAAAAAAAAAGCAACACGGCUGCAGCGGCGAAGGACAGAGAGUUAGCUUGGGAGAAAAUAGCUGCUCGAGUCAAUGCGUAAGUUUACAUUUGAAUUACUGUUAUACAGUGUUGUGUGUAAUUAAUUUCUAUGUAAUCUAAAAACUGUAAUUUAAUUCCGUAAUUUAAAGUAAAAUCUGAUGUAAUUGCAUUAAAUGCUGCAUAAACUAUAAAGCAAUUCUGUAUAAAAC
ensembl:lncRNA